UACAGAGGUCUCAAGCGUUGUUCGGAUUCAUUGGGCGUAAAGGGCGCGUAGGCGGUCGUGACAAGUCACUUGUGAAAUCUCCGGGCUUAACUCGGAACGGUCAAGUGAUACUGUCGGACUAGAGUACAGAAGGGGCAACUGGAAUUCUCGGUGUAGCGGUGAAAUGCGUAGAUAUCGAGAGGAACACCUGCGGCGAAGGCGGGUUGCUGGGCUGAUACUGACGCUGAGGCGCGAAAGCCAGGGGAGCGAACGGG
rnacentral:rRNA from 1 species